ensembl:snRNA U1 U1 spliceosomal RNA
AUACUUCCCUGGCCGGUAUGAUACCAUGAUCACGAAGGUGGUUUUCCUAGGGCGAGGCCCACCCAUUGCACUCAGGAUGUGCUGACCUCUGCAAUUUUCCCAAAUGUGGGAGACUCGACUGCAUAAUUUGUGGUGGUGAGGGACUGUGUUCGCACUCUCCCCUG